UUAUAAAAAUAUACAAAUAUUUAUCUUUAAAAAUAAAGUUUAAAACAAAAACAAUGACUUAAAAGGAUAAUCACGCCAUAGAUAAUUGAGGUGUCACAUGAUCUUAGCUCACAAGAAUCAACCAAUACAGAUUAUAUUAAUAAGAAAACAAAUAAAACGAUAACAACUUGGGGAUGUAGCUCAGAUGGUAGAGCGCUCGCUUAGCAUGCGAGAGAUUACAUCGGAAUCUCAAGUUAACUGAUACAUCAGCUCAGAAGCUUUUUGAAAUGAAUCCAAACGGGUGAGAGGUUAUGUUUGCCUUUCCAACAUCUAUGCGUCUGAAAGACAGUGGUUUGAGUUUGUGAACAAAACUCAUCUGGUUUUCUUCUAAAGUCUUUUAGAAUGAGUUUUUAAUAAUUAUUCUUUAUUGUGCAUAACCGUCUUAGGAGAUUGAUUGGUUGUCAUGGAUACAAUAAUAUUAAUUAUUUCAUAGAGUUCACAUCAAAUAUUGAAAUCCUAACAAAUAAGAGCAAUUUGCAAGUGUCUUUAGUAAUGGUAAUGUUUUAGGAUGUCCUUAUUGCAUCAUCUUUUGUAAGAAUUUGUGUGUUUCAAUAACUCAAACCCGAGUGUGGACUGAGUCAAGUCUCGGUUUUGGCA